AACAGGCAGGCAGGGGCAGCAAGAUGGUGUCGCAGACCCAAGUCUUCAUUUCCCUGUUGCUCUGGAUCUCUGGUGCCUAUGGGGACAUCGUGAUGACCCAGUCUCCAGACUCCCUGGCUGUGUCUCUGGGCGAGAGGGUCACCGUCAACUGCAAGUCCAGCCAGAGUGUUUUAUACAGCUCCAACAAUAAGAACUACUUAAACUGGUACCAGCAGAAACCAGGACAGGCUCCUAAGCUGCUCAUUUACUGGGCAUCUACCAGGGAAUCCGGGGUCCCUGACCGAUUCAGUGGCAGCGGGUCUGGGACAGAUUUCACUCUCACCAUCAGCAGCCUGCAGGCUGAAGAUGUGGCAGUUUAUUACUGUCAGCAGGACUAUAGUACUCCUCCCACAGUGCUUCAGCCUCGAACACAAACCUCCUCCCCGUGCGUUGGGUCAGUAGGUCUUUGCUGCAGCAGCUGCUUCCUCUGCACACAGCCCCAAACAUGCAUGCUUCCUCUGUGUGUUGGGGAGGUCACUCUCUUGAUUUAUUCGUUGGAGGGUUUGCAGGGCCCAGGAUAAAAUCAAGAGAUUUAACUUUUGCUGGAUCUCUUUUUGUAGAAGAUUAGAUCCCUUAGAGACAUUGUCAGGAGUUUUUGUGUUACAGGAACCUGCAUGUUUCACGUGGACACAUCACAUGACCGAGCCAAAUAGAUUUACCUUUACUCU